ACAUGCUAACCUGCUUCCUAAACAACAUAAAAAGCUGACCAGGAGUUUCCAAGGAGUGAUAUUAAGGCCUUCCUUUUGGUAACUAACACAUUACGCCAUUGGACACAAGAGUAAAACAACCUUACGUUUUACCAGGUACAUGGGCUGAGACUCAACAUUAUGGCUUUCCUUACGUACAGGUGAACACCAGCAUUCCCUUCACACGGCCACCCACCGUGCUGAGCUGACGGAUUACUGCAAGUCCUGGUCCUGGUCUGGUUGCCGCGUCCACAGCUCCUUGUGCAUUCUUCCCAAGGACUCCAUUCCGACCAGCUACCAUCCACUAUACAAAAGUGAACCAUUAUACCAUCGGAAUUGUUACCUUGCGUGAUUCCCAGCUAGAACAGCUCCAUCCUUUCUCCAUGUUAUCCUUGGAGCUGGCACACC